UGCAAGUCGAGCGGUAAGGCCCUUCGGGGUACACGAUCGGCGAACGGGUGAGUAACACGUGAGUAACCUGCCCCUGACUCUGGGAUAAGCGGUGGAAACGCCGUCUAAUACCGGAUACAACCUUCCGCCUCUUGGUGGAGGGUGGAAAGUUUUUUCGGUCAGGGAUGGGCUCGCGGCCUAUCAUCUUGUUGGUGGGGUAACGGCCUACCAAGGCGAUUACGGGUAGCCGGCCUGAGAGGGCGACCGGCCACACUGGGACUGAGACACGGCCCAGACUCCUGCGGGAGGCAGCAGUGGGGAAUAUUGCGCUUUGGGCGAAGGCCUGACGCAGCGACGCCGCGUGGGGGAUGACGGCCUUCGGGUUGUAAACCUCUUUUACCACCAACGCAGGCUCCGGGUUUUCUCGGGGUUGACGGUAAGUGGGGAAUAAGGACCGGCUAACUACCUGCCAUAACCCGCGGUAAUACGUAGGGUCCAAGCGUUGUCCGGAAUUAUUGGGCGUAAAGAGCUCGUAUGCGGCGUGUCUCGUCUGCUGGGAAAGAA
rnacentral:rRNA from 1 species